CAGCGUGAGGCCACAGAAGGUGGAGAAAAGUUGUGGGUUCCCGGCGCCGACAGCCUCCAGGGCCAAAGCCGCCGGGACUAGGACCACUCAGCAGGGAUCCGGCUUGACCUUCGGAGAACCAGCCGGACCCGCCCAAUUCGGCUGCCCAUGUCGAUUCGGGGUCAGGGGAAGCCUCUGGCCGGCGGCAUGAACCCGAGGGCUGCAGGAUGCGCUCCAAACACAGGGCCCCGGGGCUGUGCGGGGUGCACUGCAGGACAGAGCUGUCAAAGACCGUGGAGGUCACUGACAUCUUACAAAGAUUGUUCUCACCAUGAAUUCUCUUCCUGUGAUGUGUCUCAUCCUCAGAGCAGAGAUUGCCUUCCUGGAAGAAGCCACAGUGUUUUCUGAGAAGCUCAAGUUCACAAUCCACAGAGUUAUAGAAUGAGAUGAAGCAGUACUAAUGAGCUUCCAUAGAAGGCAUCAGAAUUUUCUUCUGAACCAAAGAAGACUUGUCUGUCAGCAUAAGUCAGCAGAGGACCUCCAUGGCAGCUGCAAUCGAGAUGGAAAUUCUGAACUGGGAGUUCUCUGACCCUCCAAGCUACUGUCUAAGCCCCUGAGGAAGUGAUGUGGACAGCAAGUGACCUGAGAAAGAGAAGAGAGAGGACAGUGCAGUCCAUGUGGAAAACCAGAGGAGCCUUCCUGGAGGAGGAGGCUUGGGGUGAUAAGGGAGGAUUGGCUUGAUGAAUAUAAGCUGGUGAAGG